AAGCGUCAUGCAGAAACAACCUUAAUAGAAUGAAAAAGGUUUCUGCAUCACGCGUUAAUUAAGUACCGACACAAAAUAGCAAUUCAGGUUAGAGUAUUGAGUGCCGAAGAAAUCUUAGCGGCGGACGGGUGAGUAACACGUGGGCAACCUGCCUUGGAAGUGGGGGGAUAACACCGGGGAAAUCGGUGCUAAUACCGCAUAACAUACACAUACUGCAUAGUGAGUGUAUCAAAGGAGCAAUCCGCUUUAAGAUGGGCCCGCGUCUGAUUAGCUAGUUGGUAAGGUAACGGCUUACCAAGGCGACGAUCAGUAGCCGACCUGAGAGGGUGACCGGCCACACUGGAACUGAGACACGGUCCAGACUCCUACGGGAGGCAGCAGUGGGGAAUAUUGCGCAAUGGGGGGAACCCUGACGCAGCAACGCCGCGUGGAGGAAGAAGGUCUUCGGAUUGUAAACUCCUGUCUUCUGGGACGAAAAAAUGACGGUACCAGAGGAGGAAGCCACGGCUAACUACGUG
rnacentral:rRNA from 1 species